rnacentral:rRNA from 1 species
UACGGGGGGGGCAAGCGUUGUUCGGAAUUACUGGGCGUAAAGGGCGCGCAGGCGGUUCGAUAAGUCAGCUGUGAAAACCAUGGGCUUAACUCAUGGCCUGCAGUUGAGACUGUCGGGCUGGAGUGUGGUAGAGGAGAGUGGAAUUCCUGGUGUAGCGGUGAAAUGCGUAGAUAUCAGGAGGAACACCGGUGGCGAAGGCGGCUCUCUGGACCACAACUGACGCUGAGGCGCGAAAGCUAGGGGAGCAAACAGG